CCAGAUUUGAGAUUCAUAGUAUAGUCUAUACUAAUUAAAACAUAACUGAGAUUUAUUUCUCAGAGAACACUUGGAUAAUAAAAAUGCUCCGAUUUAUUUGUUUGAAUGACUGAUGCAGUUUUUCCAUCCAGUAGACAAAUUUCAGACAUUGUAAAAAUAGUGAACUAAUUCUUUAAAAUGACAAUAACAAAUAUGUUAUAAAUAAGCAAUGUUUAAAACAAGAGGAGAGUGUAGUUUAUUGUUAUUUAUUACUACUAUUACUAUGUAUAAUUUUUGUAGAUAUAUCCUA